UACGUAGGGGGCAAGCGUUGUCCGGAUUUAUUGGGCGUAAGGAGCGUGUAGGCGGCUUGGUAGGUCUCGCGUCAAAACCUGAGGCUCAACCUCAGUUCGCGUGGGAAACCACCUAGCUAGAGUCCGGAAGAGGAGAACGGAAUUCCCAGUGUAGCGGUGAAAUGCGCAGAUAUUGGGAAGAACACCAGUGGCGAAGGCGGUUCUCUGGGACGGUACUGACGCUGAGACGCGAAAGCGUGGGGAGCGAACAGG
rnacentral:rRNA from 1 species